rnacentral:rRNA from 1 species
AUGGAUCACAUGUCUGCAACCUGGCUCGCCGGCCAGGUGAUGGCGAUGGGGCUCGUCACCGAGUGCUCGCCGUCGCUCCACUCGAUCGACCCGAACGUGUGCUUCUCCGUGACGUUCCCAAACAUCCGUGGCGCGAAGGUGAUCGCGUACUCCUGCGUCCCCUGCGUCGCGCUGAACUGCAGCUUCUGCGGCCUCACCGUCACGGCCACGCCGGCGGGGCUGGCGAUCUUGGCCCUGUACGUCGCCCUGACGCUGCUCCCGACGUUCCGCACGACGCGGCGCUGCGUGACCGCGCGUUUCUCCGGGCCGAACACCGCCGAGAAGGCCGGGUAG